rnacentral:rRNA from 1 species
AAAAUAACAUCAUCCGAUCCCUAGUCGGCAUAGUUUAUGGUUAAGACUACGACGGUAUCUGAUCGUCUUCGAUCCCCUAACUUUCGUUCUUGAUUAAUGAAAACAUCCUUGGCAAAUGCUUUCGCAGUAGUUAGUCUUCAAUAAAUCCAAGAAUUUCACCUCUGACAAUUGAAUACUAAUGCCCCCAACUAUCCCUAUUAAUCAUUACGUCAAUCCUAGAAACCAACAAAAUAGGAUCAACGUCCUAUUUCAUUAUUCCAUGCUAAUGUAUUCAAGCGCGAGCCUGCUUUAAACACUCUAAUUUUUUCAAAGUAACAGUCCUGAUUCCCCACCACACCAAAUUAAUGACAUGAUGGUUCGUCAGAAGGUAGGAACCAGUAACACCAGUACGUACCUAAGGCACGACCGACGUACUAAUCCCGAAAUUCAACUACGAGCUUUUUAACUGCAACAACUUUAAUAUACGCUAUUGGAGCUGGAAUUACCGCGGC